UACGUAGGGAGCAAGCGUUGUCCGGAAUUACUGGGCGUAAAGGGUGCGUAGGCGGUCAUGCAAGUCAGAUGUGAAAUACCGGGGCUUAACCCCGGGGCUGCAUUUGAAACUGUAUGACUUGAGUGCAGGAGAGGCAAGUGGAAUUCCUAGUGUAGCGGUGAAAUGCGUAGAUAUUAGGAGGAACACCAGUGGCGAAGGCGACUUGCUGGACUGUAACUGACGCUGAGGCA
rnacentral:rRNA from 1 species